rnacentral:rRNA from 1 species
GCAAGCCGAGCGGUAGAAGUCCUUCGGGACUUUGAGAGCGGCGUACGGGUGCGUAACACGUGUGCAACCUACCUUUAUCUGGGGAAUAGCCUUUCGAAAGGAAGAUUAACACCCCAUAAUAUAAUGAUUGGCAUCAAUUAUUAUUGAAAACUCCGGUGGAUAGAGAUGGGCACGCGCAAGAUUAGAUAGUUGGUGAGGUAACGGCUCACCAAGUCUGUGAUCUUUAGGGGUCCUGAGAGGGAGAUCCCCCACACUGGUACUGAGACACGGACCAGACUCCUACGGGAGGCAGCAGUGAGGAAUAUUGGACAAUGGGUGAAAGCCUGAUCCAGCCAUCCCGCGUGAAGGAUGACGGUCCUAUGGAUUGUAAACUUCUUUUGUACAGGAAUAAACCUACUCUCGUGAGAGUAGCUGAAGGUACUGUACGAAUAAGCACCGGCUAACUCCGUGCCAGCAGCCGCGGUAAUACGGAGGGUGCAAGCGUUAUCCGGAUUUAUUGGGUUUAAAGGGUCCGUAGGCGGGCCUGUAAGUCAGUGGUGAAAUCUCAUAGCUUAACUAUGAAACUGCCAUUGAUACUGCAGGUCUUGAGUAAAUUUGAAGUGGCUGGAAUAAGUAGUGUAGCGGUGAAAUGCAUAGAUAUUACUUAGAACACCAAUUGCGAAGGCAGGUCACUAAGAUUUAACUGACGCUGAUGGACGAA